rnacentral:rRNA from 1 species
CAUGGAGGGUGAGAAUCCCGUAUGGUUGAUCAAUUGCGUAUGUGAUACGUUUUCAAAGAGUCAAGUUGUUUGGGAUUGCAGCUUUAAAUGGGAGGUAAAUUUCUCCUAAGGCUAAAUAUUGGCGAGAGACCGAUAGCGAACAAGUACCGUGAGGGAAAGAUGAAAAGCAUUUUGAAAAGAAAGUCAAAUAGUACGUGAAAUUGUUGAAAGGGAAACGAUUAAAGUCAGUCGUACCGAUGGGUAAUCAGCCUUUCGGGUGCGAUUAUGUGGUACGUGGAAAGAUUUCACGAUUGCAUAUUUGUGCCUUUUGGGUGUACUUGCUCGUAUGGUAGGUUAACAUCAAUUUCGGUUGUCAUAAAAUGGCGGGAGGAAUGUAGCUUCUCCGGAAGUGUUUAUAGCCUCUGGUAGAUGUGAUGACUGGGAUUGAGGAUUGCAACGAAUACCCUCUGGGCUACUUGUCUGGCCUCUGGUCGUCGCUUUGGUGCCGAAAGCGUGCUUAUGGUAUUAAAGUAGGUGGUCAAAAGGUUAGAACGGGUUAAAUUCGUUAAGGAUGUUGACGUAAUGG